rnacentral:lncRNA from 1 species
UUAUGUCAGAACGCACAAAGUUGUAGGAAGGUGUUCAUUUUUUGCACACAAUUUCAGACAAAUAUCUGUAAAAGAGGUAUUUGUUUGCCAAGUUAAACAUUUGCAAACACGUCAAAUGAAUAUAGAAUCUAACUGAAUUGAUUUGGUAGACAAAAGGCCAUGGCAGGUGUUUUCUAGAUUGAAACUUUUUGCUCGGAGUCGAAAGAUGUCACAGACACACCAUCUCUGCCUGCUAGUUAGGAAUCCGUAUUGGCCAAGAGAUCCAUGUAUCGUCCAACUCAGAUUGGAUGACAUCACAUAAAUUCAACUGAAGAGUCCAACAACUAAACUUAUUAGCUCCAGGGGAACAACAUACAUAGUGACUUGUAAGGUUCGUCUUUCUACUGGACAUUAGCAAGUUAAACAGAAAGGGCCCGAAAAAGACUGCAUGCAAAUCAGAUGCAUAUACCAAGUCGGCAUUUAUGUGAAGAAACUGUUAAGCUGUAUGAAGCAAGGAAGAUGAGCAGCCAUGGAUUAUACGACAGUAAAACUUGAUAUGAAAAUUGUAUGAUUGUUUGCAUGACGAUUGUCCAUCACGGUUCCGCUAGACGAGGGGAUACUAGAUACCUCAACAAUAUGACAAUUAUCUGAAAUCCAACGAGAUAGAAAUCAGACCCCUGUGAUUUCGAUGAUAAUCGGAAAGCAUGGGGGCGAAAUAGUCGAUGGAAAAGAAAUACUGUAAAUAAUGAACCGAAAUCAAGAAAGUAAAAAAAACUAGUGAAAGACCGUUUUAGAUGGGGAAGCUGAAACUGGCUUACGAUAUUGAGUAAAACUUACAGGGCUUUCUUGGCUUGUGAGGUUGCCAUCAGUUGGCUGGUUAAAGUAUAUCCCAAGCCAGUUCCCUCUGCAGGAAGCAGGGGUCACUCCAGUGGCAAAGGAGGAGAUAUUACUAAGAUUAUAUGUCUUUAGUCAAUAUGCAAUGGUGAUCAGGCACACAAGGGUUGAUCGUAAAAGGUUAGGAUCAGAACCAUCACACAAGAGAUAUGCUUCAUAGCAGAUAUACAUCACUUGAUGAAAGUAGAACUGCAGAAUUUCUGAAGCUGAUUGAGCAUGUGGUAGGCAUAUGCAGUAAGGCAGGUGUCUCAAGCCUACAGAGCAACAGAAUGACGAGUGUAACCCGACCUGCAAUAUAUUGGUUGUGACAAGCGAGAGUGAAUAAAAACUUUACAGCCAGCAACCAGGAGUCUGUGGGACGGUGAGUAGGAGUCUAGAAGAUGAGGUGAUGGUGUUUGAGGCCGGUUGUUGAACUUGUAAUGUCAUCUUUUCUGUCACCAAGUUGUUGCUGAUGCAGACUAUGGCUAAAGUGUUUCUUUUUUUGUUGCAAUUAAUGUCAGGCCAUAUUUUUGUUUUGAAAGACACCAAAUGUAUUUGGACAGAAAAAAGCUUGUAAAUUUUGCUCAUUAAACAAUAUAGAGAGUAAUGUGUGUGGUGGCCUUGUCUGUUCUUUUUUAUAUUAACUAGAAAUUUUUGUAAAGUUUUGAUUUUUGUAGGACCCACUUGCAAUGAAUUUGACAUAUUUAUCAAAAUAGCUGUUAGCUGUAUGUGUAUUAGU